UGACCCAUGAUGAUAACCUAUAUGAAAAACAACCAUCUUUCGGGACUGAUUGGCUUUGUAUUGGCCAUGCUGUCACUUCCAAAUUUCUGAGGUCG